CAUUCUGUUAUUUUAUAGCUCAAUGGUCAGCUGCAAAAAUGUUGCGUUGCCGUUCAACUUAUGUUGAUCAAUUUGUUUUUAUGUAAGUUGCCUCUUCUCCAGGUGCAAGGGGAAAACAACAUGUUGAGCAGCAUUUGAAACUAAUUCUGAGAAGUCGGUUGUACAACACUGUCUGCAUCUGAAGCAAUUACACAGAUGUUCAUGUUUCUCAGCUGACAAGUUCGCAGGUUUUGACAGCUGGCUGAUCCUGCCCCAUGCCAUGUCUCCUCUCAAAGGCUCUGGAAGCUCAGAUGCAUACUAGACAGCUCUGCAAGCGUUAUAAUGUCAAAAUACGUUCGUUACUCACAAAAUAAAAAUGUACACGCAAUCGAAAGAGUUCCUAUUCACUCACAUCCCAAGGAUUCCAGAUAGCACUAACCUUACUGCUAUGCGCAAGUCGGAAGUCUUCGACAGUUCAAUACAUUGGAGGAGCCGAAGAGUGUUUUUUCCCCGUUGCUUGUAAAAUAUUUGUGUAUCCUUUUUUGGAAGUACAUACCGGGGGUCACGGGAGUAAAUUAAGCUAGUUGCUCAGCGAAACCCCACAUUUGUUAAAUACCGAACGUAUUUUUACAUAACUUGCAGAGCUGUCUAAUGAGUUUGAAUAGGAGCUUUGUGUUAGAGGAGACACUCGUCGCUGACAUCUCUAAAGCACAGAUACAGGGCACAAUUAGCCUGUUAGGUUGAAUAGUACCUCUGGAAUAACACGUUUUCCUACCAGUCAUUCAGAUUUCAUUGGUUUGGGCUAUGCAUCUAUCUCGGAUUUGGAAUUUGCUUCAACAUUGGUGCUGACUACGCUGAGUGGAAAGCCGAGGGGGUGGAGCAGCUGCGACUCAGCACAGUGGACCUAACCGGGGUGCCCAGUCUCGAAAACCGGGCCUCCAGUGUCUAUGUCCACUGUAAGGCUGGACGCUGUCGCAGUGCUACACUAGCUGCUGCAUACAUCGUACAGAUACACUGCUGGGGUCCAGAGGAAGCGUGUCAGAUGUUGGCCCCUAUCCGACCACAUGUAAUAAUUUGUUCUACACAGCUAGAGACGCUUCGGCGGUACCAUCAGAAAGUCUGUGGCGGGGGGUUCCAUUUAAGAUUGUUGAGAGGCUGCCAGCGUACUUUAUUGCACUCCAUCAGAAACUGUCAAAUGAGCUUUGUCAAAACAAACCAUAUUCUUCUUGAAGAGUUUUUUGACCUUGAGCUUAUUCUUUUAGUGUUUUGUUACUCAACUGGAUCAAGUGCAUUGUAUAAUUAAAAUGUUUUAUCACAGCUCAUCAUAACAUGGGGUAUAAUAAAAUGCAAUCCCCAUCAAAGUACUGACAGGUGGGUGAGGGGGUGGGGUGUGUGUGUGUAUUUAAAAGCAUGUUUCUGCAUUUAAAAAAAUCUUCCUUAACAUAGAAAUUGUAAUCAAAUUUCCUAUUAAGCACAUUUUUGUUACAAAUUUCACUGAUUGUUUGUGUGUAUGUAUAUAUUGGAAAAUAAUGACUUAUUAUUAUAAAAGUAUAGCUAUUGAUACUUCAUCCAUGGAAACAUAACCGGAUUGAACAUGUCGCCUAAUUGUCUGGAAAGCCGAUGUUGAAAUGAGCGUUUGACUCAGGAUAGUUUUCUCUCACAACCAGAAUGUUGAAUAAAAUAACAUGUUAUUGUA